UACGAAGGGGGCUAGCGUUGUUCGGAAUUACUGGGCGUAAAGCGCACGUAGGCGGAUUGUUAAGUUAGGGGUGAAAUCCCGGAGCUCAACUCCGGAACUGCCUUUGAUACUGGCGAUCUUGAGAUCGGAAGAGGUGAGUGGAAUUCCCAGUGUAGAGGUGAAAUUCGUAGAUAUUGGGAAGAACACCAGUGGCGAAGGCGGCUCACUGGUCCGAUACUGACGCUGAGGUGCGAAAGCGUGGGGAGCAAACAGG
rnacentral:rRNA from 1 species